rnacentral:tRNA from 1 species
AAGGGAGACCUAAUUCAGGUAUGGGACGAAAAAAAAGUAGUCGCUACCAAGAAUCAAUCCCAAAAGGUCGGAGCGAGGCAAAAUUGGCUUUCAAACUAGGUUCUGGGUUCACACAAGACCUGAAUCAGGAACAAGGGCUAUUAGCUCAGGUGGUUAGAGCGCACCCCUGAUAAGGGUGAGGUCCCUGGUUCGAGUCCAGGAUGGCCCACCUGUACAGGUGGCAAAAAGAAAGAAAAGAAGCGAGGAAUCAGCACCUUAUCUUACUUAUAUAGUAAGAGAGAAUGCUGGCUCUGAGUAAAGAGUCCAGAGGAACCUUGAAAACUGCAUAGAGCUAGGUGAAAAAGCCAAAAAAGAAGACCGCAA